UAACUAGUUUAUAUGUCAAAAUACAAGGAGGAUGAAAGUUAACAUAUGAUGGUAAAAUAACCUACAUAUAUUACGAAGUACAUAAAUUUAACUUCUAAUAUUCCAAACACUCAUAUUUUGAAUGCCUGUUUUAUAGCUAACAGUCACAACUAGUAUAACCUACUCUAAUAGCUUAAAAAAACCACAACUGCUAAUUUAAAAGACUGAGGCCUAAAUGGCUUUUUUUUUUUUUUUUUUUUGACAAAGAGAACUAUAUAAAUAAACGCACUAUUACAACCUAAAAGAACUUACCAACACACCUAAACAAACCCGCAUAUGGGGAUCGCUACCUACCUUUAGAGGAAGCACGAAUCUAAAACCCUUUAAAAAGUGGGAAGUGCUACUGUAGCUUAUCUACAGUGCUAUGCCCAAACUACCCCUUGCCACGAAAUUAAGUUGCUGUGUGAGCUCUUGGACUGAUGGCUACCCAUGUCCUUUCUUUAUCCUACUCUUCCUCACUACCUUUCAUUUUUUUCUUGUUAUUUUUUCUUUUGCUCUGAAUUACAGUCAUCUCAGUUUCACUCUCCUAGCUUCUCCUCUCCAACAAUUUUCUAGGGCUUAUCCAUUCUUCAACUUACUGAAAAUUCAAUCGGAAAAGCAUCAACAUCUCCAGAUCUUCUUCUUCAUCGCAACUCGUGUUUGCGUAAGUUUCCUUUCUCAUCUCAUCUUUCAUAGCACAUAGUAGGCUAGGUAUACUUGCGACUAUUUAAGAGCCUCUCCGACCAGAACUUAGCAACGGAGGCUGCUGUUGAUUUAGAUGGGGGGCAUAGAAGAAGUCAUUCAGGAGAAAAUGUUUCAAUUGAGGCAAAAUUUGAUGACGAAUUAAUGGGAAAAGCUAAAAAAAGCCCCAAAUUUGGCGUCAGGAAGAAGCUCUUCACUUCCAAAAUAGGCAUAAGCAAGACGUAUUAAACCCCUACAAGAAAGACCUUGAAUCCGCUAUUCUUCCUGGAAAUGUGUAAGCUUCCUAAAUUCUUCAAUUUAUUUAAGCAGUUAUAAUUAUUGGGUAUAAACGAAUUUCAUGAUAAUUUUAUUGUUGUUUUUGUGGGUGUGAAUUAGGCCUAAUGUAUCAUCCGCCUUAUUUACCGUUUUGGGAUGCCUUAUCGGGUUAUAGUUGAUACCAAUUUCAUCAAUUUUUCUAUCCAGAACAAAGUGAGAACCUCAAUUCUUGGUUUUAUUAGUUUUACCUAUAUUAUUCAGCUAGAAUUUUGCUCUGUUCGUGGGUUGAUUCCAGAUAUAUCCUUGUUAGUAAUUAUGCUUUGUAAAUCUAUGUUAGUUUUGUCUGAUGAUUUUGUUGUUUUAUGUUUGGGCAAUUGAAUUUGGAGAAAGUAAUGAUGGAUUGCUUAUAUUCUAAAUGUGACUGAUUAUUGUCAUCUUUUUUUAUACAAUUUAGUCAAUGUGAGUUUACUGUGUUAUAUACUUUAUGUUGUAUUUUCCUUGAUUAUUUUGAACAAUGAGCUCUUUAAUGCUAUUAUUGUAAAGAAAUUAUAUUACGGUGGUCAGAGGUCGGCUAGGGGUAAUACUCUCAUGGGAGGAGAGUUUAAUGAUGCUUGAGAAGGAAGUGGGGUGCAACCAUGCAUUAAGUGUUGGAUUCUCAACUGGUGGAUUUGCAACAAUCCCUACCAUGAGAAAGCUUCAUCUCAUUGUCUUUAAAAAUAAAGAAAUCUUCAUCUCAUAUGGGUGAUUGUGUGCAUGCACAUUGAGAUAUACUGAUAUAUAGCUUGGAGUGGUGUAGUUGAGAUAGAGACGUGGUGGCAAGCUGUAGGAAUAUUUACUACAUUGCCCAAAAGAGCUUCGAUAAUUGAUGCUCUUUGCAAGAGGUGUAGUGUGAGAAUAGUUCGUGUUGUAAAUAUCAUACAAGCAGGUCAUGGUGAUCAUUAUCAAGUCUUCUUGAGAAUUUAAUCAAUUAUAAUGCCAUGGGUACAUUUAUAGAUAUUAUGCUUUUUUUGUUGUUGAUUGUAGUAGAAUAUAAAAUAUUGCUUAGGGAUGGAUAGGAUAUAUUCUGUUUAGAAAUAGGUUACUAUUAGAAUGGAGUUAUCUAAGAACUUCAUCUCUUCUUAUAUUACUAAAGUGAAUACUAUUGCUAUGGAGAGUGGAUAGAGGAGAUAGAAAAUUGCAACUGCAUGCACAUAAUGAAGGGCAAGGAAGGAUAUAGGGGUAGCAGAAGGUUGGAGGGGUAGGACCCUUAGUGAAAUUUGGAUUUUUCUGUUCUAUUUCUUAUGUUAGGGUUUGUAAAAAUGAAAUUUGGAUUUUUUGGGUUUUAAAAUGGAAAUUUGAAUUUUUUUGAGGUUACGAUUUAUACUUUAUAAAAGGAUAAGGACUGUUUAAUUUCUUACUAAAAUACAGAGCACAUUGUAAUGGUGAAAUGGUGAAGCCGUGAAGUUUUUGGAGCGUCGCUAUCUUAGUUCUUCAGUGAAAGGGUAGCUGGUGGAGAAGUUUGCGAAGGUGAUAUCCAAUUUAAUUGAUUGUUGGGGUUUCAGGUGAGAGGCAAUGGAGAAAUUCUUGGUCAAGUAAUUUUAUCUCAGGGUUUAUCUAAGUGAGUGAUAAUAGGGAAGUAGUAUAUAUAAAAGUAACAAGCUGGUGCAUUCAUUGAAGGGCGAUUAUUGGAAGUUUGUGCAAGUUUGCAAUGGCGUUCAAUUUGUGACCUAAUGGGUAUGUGCUUAGUAUAUUUAAAUGUACUGAAAUUGUAUUGAAUGUACUUCUGUAUAUAGAUUUACUUCUUGGUUGCUAAUAUAAGUAACAAUAUAUUGCUACCUUUAGUUUGCCUUC